rnacentral:rRNA from 1 species
AGUGAACGCUGGCGGUAGGCCUAACACAUGCAAGUCGAACGGCAGCACAGGAGAGCUUGCUCUCUAGGUGGCGAGUGGCGGACGGGUGAGGAAUACAUCGGAAUCUGCCCAGUCGUGGGGGAUAACGUAGGGAAACUUAUGCUAAUACCGCAUACGACCUUCGGGUGAAAGAGGGGGAUCGCAAGACCUCUCGCGAUUGGAUGAGCCGAUGUCGGAUUAGCUAGUUAGCGGGGUAAUGGCCCACCAAGGCGACGAUCCGUAGCUGGUCUGAGAGGAUGAUCAGCCACACUGGAACUGAGACACGGUCCAGACUCCUACGGGAGGCAGCAGUGGGGAAUAUUGGACAAAGGGCGCAAGCCUGAUCCAGCCAUACCGCGUGGGUGAAGAAGGCCUUCGGGUUGUAAAGCCCUUUUGUUGGGAAAGAAAUCUUUCAGGCUAAUACCCUGGGAGGAUGACGGUACCCAAAGAAUAAGCACCGGCUAACUUCGUG